rnacentral:rRNA from 1 species
GGCGGCAUGCCUAACACAUGCAAGUCGAACGAGACUUCGGGUCUAGUGGCGCACGGGUGCGUAACGCGUGGGAAUCUGCCCUUGGGUUCGGGACAACAGUUGGAAACGACUGCUAAUACCGGAUGAUGACUUCGGUCCAAAGAUUUAUCGCCCAGGGAUGAGCCCGCGUAGGAUUAGCUUGUUGGUGAGGUAAAAGCUCACCAAGGCGACGAUCCUUAGCUGGUCUGAGAGGAUGAUCAGCCACACUGGGACUGAGACACGGCCCAGACUCCUACGGGAGGCAGCAGUGGGGAAUAUUGGACAAUGGGCGAAAGCCUGAUCCAGCAAUGCCGCGUGAGUGAUGAAGGCCUUAGGGUUGUAAAGCUCUUUUACCCGGGAAGAUAAUGACUGUACCGGGAGAAUAAGCCCCGGCUAACUCCGUGCCAGCAGCCGCGGUAAUACGGAGGGGGCUAGCGUUGUUCGGAAUUACUGGGCGUAAAGCGCACGUAGGCGGCUUUGUAAGU